rnacentral:rRNA from 1 species
AUACGUAGGGAGCGAGCGUUGUCCGGAAUUACUGGGCGUAAAGGGCGCGUAGGCGGCGCUUCAAGUCGUCUGUCAAAUGGGAGGGCUUAACCCUUUUUCGCAGACGAAACUGGAGAGCUUGAGAAGCAGAGAGGCAAACAGAAUUCCUGGUGUAGCGGUGAAAUGCGUAGAUAUCAGGAAGAAUACCAGUGGCGAAGGCGGUUUGCUGGCUGCAUACUGACGCUGAAGCGCGAAAGCCAGGGGAGCGAACGGGAUUAGAUACCCCGGUAGUCCUGGCAGUAAACGAUGUAUGCUGGGUGUGAGACUAGCGAUAGUUUCGUGCCGAAGUUAACGCGAUAAGCAUACCGCCUGGGGAGUACGGUCGCAAGAUUGAAACUCAAAUGAAUUGACGGG